rnacentral:lncRNA from 1 species
GUUGGUAUCAGUGACCUCGCAAUAACAGAAAAUAUAUCAGUUUCGUUACAAAAUUAAUCAGUAUCAAGUGCACAGCGGAAUUUAAAUUUUGAGGCAUGCAAAGUUAGCAAAAUAGAAAAUUAAAGAGAGAGAGUUAGAGAAGAAAACACAGAGAUUUAUCCUGGUUCGGUUGUCAACAACAACCUACGUCCAGUCCUGAAAAUCCAAUCGGAUUUCAGAUUUUCUUCUCCUUCAAUAGAAAGAAUCAAUUACAGAUUGUCCAGUUUCCUCCCUGAAACCUAUCUAUCUUAAUGAUCUCUUUCCUAUUGAAUACCCUCUGAUCUUUGUAGACACUCAGCAGCCUAUCACAGAAUCACAGUGCGACUCUUUCUUGUUGAGCCCUCUCAACCAAGAAAGUAGCCACCAGUUUCAAGCUGGCUUUUCUUGCGUUCUAUUCGUUUCAAAGAUUUAUUACAGAAUCAAUAAAAG